UACGUAGGGGCGCAAGCGUUGUCCGGAAUUAUUGGGCGUAAAGAGCUCGUAGGCGGUUUGUCGCGUCUGCUGUGAAAUCCCCGAGACUCAACCUCGGGCUUGCAGUGGGUACGGGCAGACUAGAGUGCGGUAGGGGAGACUGGAAUUCCUGGUGUAGUGGUGGAAUGCGCAGAUAUCAGGAGGAACACCGAUGGCGAAGGCAGGUCUCUGGGCCGCAACUGACGCUGAGGAGGCGAAAAGCA
rnacentral:rRNA from 1 species